rnacentral:rRNA from 1 species
GCAAGUCGAGGGGUAUGCUUCUUCGGAAGCAGAGACCGGCGCACGGGUGCGUAACGCGUAUGCAAUCUACCUUUCACAAAGGGAUAGCCCAGAGAAAUUUGGAUUAAUACCUUAUAGUAAUACGACUUGGCAUCAAGAUGUAUUUAAAGAUUUAUCGGUGAAAGAUGAGCAUGCGUCCCAUUAGCUAGUUGGUAUGGUAACGGCAUACCAAGGCUACGAUGGGUAGGGGUCCUGAGAGGGAGAUCCCCCACACUGGUACUGAGACACGGACCAGACUCCUACGGGAGGCAGCAGUGAGGAAUAUUGGACAAUGGGCGCAAGCCUGAUCCAGCCAUGCCGCGUGCAGGAUGACGGUCCUAUGGAUUGUAAACUGCUUUUGUACAGGAAGAAACCCUUUCACGUGUGGAAGAUUGACGGUACUGUAAGAAUAAGGAUCGGCUAACUCCGUGCCAGCAGCCGCGGUAAUACGGAGGAUCCAAGCGUUAUCCGGAAUCAUUGGGUUUAAAGGGUCCGUAGGCGGUCAGAUAAGUCAGUGGUGAAAGCCCAUCGCUCAACGGUGGAACGGCCAUUGAUACUGUCUGACUUGAAUUAUUAGGAAGUAACUAGAAUAUGUAGUGUAGCGGUGAAAUGCUUAGAGAUUACAUGGAAUACCAAUUGCGAAGGCAGGUUACUACUAAUGGAUUGACGCUGAUGGACGAAAGCGUGGGUAGCGAACAGGAUUAGAUACCCUGGUAGUCCACGCCGUAAACGAUGGAUACUAGC